ACGGAUCAACAGCUUCUGUAAGCUGCACAUUGGGGUAUUCUGCAGAUAAGACUACAAUCAACUGUCUAGAUACAGGGUCAUGGGAUACUGCUACAUGUACUAUCGAAGAUUGCGGUGCUACUCUGCCAACAAUAACGGACGGUUCGGCGACUCUCGAUAACCCAUCAUCUACUACAUACGGAUCAACAGCUUCUGUAAGCUGCACAUUGGGGUAUUCUGCAGAUAAGACUACAAUCAACUGCCUAGAUACAGGGUCAUGGGAUACAGCUACAUGUACUAUUGAAGAUUGCGGUGCUACUCUGCCAACAAUAACGGACGGUUCGGCGACUCUCGAUAACCCAUCAUCUACUACAUACGGAUCAACAGCUUCUGUAAGCUGCACAUUGGGGUAUUCUGCAGAUAAGACUACAAUCAACUGCCUAGAUACAGGGUCAUGGGAUACAGCUACAU
rnacentral:lncRNA from 1 species